rnacentral:rRNA from 1 species
CCUACGGGUGGCAGCAGUGGGGAAUAUUGGGCAAUGGGCGCAAGCCUGACCCAGCAACGCCGCGUGAAGGAAGAAGGCUUUCGGGUUGUAAACUUCUUUUGUCAGGGAAGAGUAGAAGACGGUACCUGACGAAUAAGCCACGGCUAACUACGUGCCAGCAGCCGCGGUAAUACGUAGGUGGCAAGCGUUGUCCGGAUUUACUGGGUGUAAAGGGCGUGUAGACGGGUUGACAAGGCAGAUGUGAAAUCCUGCGGCUUAACCGGAGAACUGCAUUUGAAACUGUUGAUCUUGAGGACUGGAGAGGCAGAUGGAAUUCCUAGUGUAGCGGUGAAAUGCGUAGAUAUUAGGAGGAACACCAGUGGCGAAGGCGGUCUGAUGGACAGCAACUGACGGUGAGGCGCGAAAGCGUGGGGAGCAAACAGGAUUAGAGACCCGAGUAGUC